AUUGAACGCUGGCGGCAUGCUUUACACAUGCGAGUCGAACGGCAGCGCGGGCUUCGGCCUGGCGGCGAGUGGCGAACGGGUGAGUAAUGCAUCGGAACGUGCCCAGUAGUGGGGGAUAGCCCGGCGAAAGCCGGAUUAAUACCGCAUACGACCUGAGGGUGAAAGCGGGGGACCGAAAGGCCUCGCGCUAUUGGAGCGGCCGAUGUCGGAUUAGCUAGUUGGUGGGGUAAAGGCUUACCAAGGCGACGAUCCGUAGCUGGUCUGAGAGGACGACCAGCCACACUGGGACUGAGACACGGCCCAGACUCCUACGGGCGGCAGCAGUGGGGCAUUUUGGACAAUGGGGGCAACCCUGAUCCAGCCAUGCCGCGUGCGGGAAGAAGGCCUUCGGGUUGUAAACCGCUUUUGUUCGGGAAGAAAUCCUCUGGGCUAAUACCCCGGGGGGAUGACGGUACCGGAAGAAUAAGCACCGGCUAACUACGUG
rnacentral:rRNA from 1 species